UGAGGAACAAAUUAGGGCUUC
rnacentral:piRNA from 1 species